AAUAUUGGGCACUGGGCGCAAGACUGACCCAGCGACGCUGCGUGAGGGAAGAAGGACUUCGGAUUGUAAACAUCUUUUCUAGGGGAAGAAAAGCAACUUCUGCUGCUGUGACGGUACCCUAAGAAUAAGCAACGGCAAACUACGUGCCAGCAGACGCGGUAAUACGUAGGUGGGGAGCGUUAUCCGGAAUUACUGGUUGUAAAGGGUGAGUAGGCGGGUGUUCAAGUCAGGAGUGAAAACUAUGGGCACAACUCAUAGCUUGCUUUUGAAACUGCAUAUCUUGAGAGUCGGAGAGGUAAACGGAAUUCCGGGUGUAGCGGUGAAAUGCGUAGAUAACGGGGGGAACACCAGGGGCGAAGGCGGUUUACUGGACGACAACUGACGCUGGGACACGAAAGCGUGGGGAGCAAACA
rnacentral:rRNA from 1 species